rnacentral:rRNA from 1 species
CAGUAGCCACGGUAAUACAGAGGAUGCAAGCGUUAUCCGGAAUGAUUGGGCGUAAAGCGUCUGUAGGUGGCUUUUCAAGUCCGCCGUCAAAUCCCAGGGCUCAACCCUGGACAGGCGGUGGAAACUACCAAGCUGGAGUACGGUAGGGGCAGAGGGAAUUUCCGGUGGAGUGGUGAAAUGCGUUGAGAUCGGAAAGAACACCAACGGUGAAAGCACUCUGCUGGGCCGACACUGACACUGAGAGACGAAAGCUAGGGGAGCAAAUGGGAUUAGAUACCCGCGUAGUCCCUGUCUCUUAUAC